rnacentral:other from 1 species
AGUAAGCUGCUUUGUUUGUGAGGAUUGUCUAGGUUUCGAUCCUAUUUAUUAAAAGGGGACUGAUGUGGCAAGUUGUGUACAUUACGCUUAGUUUUCAAUAAUUCUAAGUAAAUGGAAAGAUUUGCCCAGGUUCCCACCUUGCGAGAGCAGGGUCAGAAAACCAGAAAUCUAACGGCAAAGCGGGAAA